CGAUGUCGGCUCAUCGCAUCCUGGGGCUGUAGUCGGUCCCAAGGGUUGGGCUGUUCGCCCAUUAAAGCGGUACGCGAGCUGGGUUCAGAACGUCGUGAGACAGUUCGGUCCCUAUCCGUCGUGGGCGCCUGGAAGUUUGAGAGGAGCUGUCCUUAGUACGAGAGGACCGGGAUGGACACACCGCUGGUGCACCAGUUGUUCCGCCAGGAGCAUUGCUGGGUAGCUACGUGUGGUCGGGAUAAGUGCUGAAAGCAUCUAAGCAUGAAGCCCCCCUCUAGAUGAGACUUCCCAUCAUUUUAAAUGAGUAAGAUCCCUCAGAGACGAUGAGGUUGAUAGGUUCGAGGUGGAAGCGUGGUGACACGUGUAGCUGACGAAUACUAAUCGAUCGAGGACUUAACUAU
rnacentral:rRNA from 1 species